CUUUGGUCUUUUUGUGGCUCCCACAAAAAUGGCAAGUUGUCCAAGUGCCGACUUUGCGGACGUAGGAAGCAAACAAAGGACAAUUCGACUGCCGAAGGAACGUAGGCACAAAGAAUUGAAUGGACUAGUUGCCACCAACCAAAG
rnacentral:sRNA from 22 species